AUGCUUAACACAUACAAGUCGAACGGAAACGACAACAUUGAAUCUUCGGAGGAUUUGUUGGGCGUCGAGCGGCGGACGGGUGAGUAAUGCCUAGGAAAUUGCCUUGAUGUGGGGGAUAACCAUUGGAAACGAUGGCUAAUACCGCAUAAUGCCUACGGGCCAAAGAGGGGGACCUUCGGGCCUCUCGCGUCAAGAUAUGCCUAGGUGGGAUUAGCUAGUUGGUGAGGUAAUGGCUCACCAAGGCGACGAUCCCUAGCUGGUCUGAGAGGAUGAUCAGCCACACUGGAACUGAGACACGGUCCAGACCCCUACGGGAGGCAGCAGUGGGGAAUAUUGCACAAUGGGCGCAAGCCUGAUGCAGCCAUGCCGCGUGUAUGAAGAAGGCCUUCGGGUUGUAAAGUACUUUCAGUUGUGAGGAAGGGGGUAACGUUAAUAGCGUUAUCUCUUGACGUUAGCAACAGAAGAAGCACCGGCUAACUCCGUGCCAGCAGCCGCGGUAAUACGGAGGGUGCGAGCGUUAAUCGGAAUUACUGGGCGUAAAGCGCAUGCAGGUGGUUCAUUAAGUCAGAUGUGAAAGCCCGGGGCUCAACCUCGGAACUGCAUUUGAAACUGGUGAACUAGAGUGCUGUAGAGGGGGGGUAGAAUUUCAGGUGUAGCGGUGAAAUGCGUAGAGAUCUGAAGGAACACCAGUGG
rnacentral:rRNA from 1 species